rnacentral:tRNA from 1 species
AGCUAAUUUGUAAGUAGUUUUGAAAACUUUUUAGGUUAUGGACCUUUAGCUU